rnacentral:lncRNA from 1 species
UGUGUGUAUGUAAAUUACUUCAAAAAUAUAAUCUAUCUCUACCUAUCUAUGCUACAUAUAUGUGUGUGUGUGAUCUAUUUCUGUCUAUCUAUUCUCUGUUGCAAUAUGAUCUACCUCUUUUUGUUUGUGCUCUAGGUGUGUGUGUAAAUUACUUCCAAAAAUAUGAUCUAUCUCUAUCUGUCUGUGCUAUGUUGGAACAUGAUUACUUCCAAAAACAUGAUCGAUCUCUAUCUAUCUGUGUUGUAUUGGAACAUGAUCUAUUUUUGUCUGUCUAUGCUGUACAUGAGAGAGAGAUCUAUCUCGAUAUGUUUGUACUAUGUAUGUGUGCUGUGUUGGAACGUGGUCUAUCUUUGUUUGUCAGUGCUCUGUGCGUGUGCUAUAUUAGAACAUGAUCUAUCUCUGUUUGUUUGUGCUAUGUGCAUUAUGUUGAAACAUGAUCUAUCUCUAUUGUCUGUGUGAUAUAUCUCUAUCUGUCUAUUGGAACAUGGUCUAUCUUUGUUUGUCAGUGCUCUGUGCGUGUGCUAUAUUAAAACAUGAUCUAUCUCUGUUUGUUUAUGCUAUGUGUAUUAUGUUGAAACAUGAUCUAUCUCUAUUGUCUGUGUGAUAUAUUUCUAUCUAUCUAUACUGUGGUGGAACAUGAUUUAUCUUUAUCUAUCUGUGAUGUGUGUGUAUGCUAUGUUGGAACAUGAUCUAUCUGUUUGUCUGUGCUAUAUGUGUGUGUUGUGUUAGAAUAUGAUCUAUCUCUGUUUGUCUAUCUUUGCUGUGUGUGUAUUGGAACAUGAUCUCUCUCUAUCUAUCUGUGCUCUGUAUGUGUUGAAAUAU